AUGUAUAUUCUUGAAGCUGCGCCCUUACUGAAGGAGCUAUACAUGAUGGUAUGGGAUCAUGCUUGCAAUAUGGAAAUGGACGAGACGAAGAGGAAAGAAGAAGCAUAUAGUGAGGACAAGGGUGUAGAGUGGGACUUGGUCGCAGCAGAUUUCAAACACCACAGUUUGGUCACACUCGUCAUUUUUUGCUUUGAAUCUGAAGAUUGCUUUGUGAGUUAUGUGAGACGUGUCCUGGUGGCGGCCGUCAAUCUAGAGGAUGUCUUCUUGUAUAGCGGGUUGAAGUGUCGCAGUUGCCCGGACAAGAAGCUUGUCAGGUACCCCUGGACUGAAUGGCAGAGGAUCUCCCUGAAUGAGAGACUCACACUAUGGUGA
rnacentral:rRNA from 1 species